AAGUCGUAACAAGGUUUCCGUAGGUGAACCUGCGGAAGGAUCAUUAACACGUAUCCACGUAUCAACCCCUAGUGUCACGAGUGCGCGUUUGCGUGCUCAGUUUUCUCUCUUGCUUUUUUCCAUAAUGAAUUUUAACCACUUGAACCCAUCAGACUAAAACUAUUUCGUGCUUUUUUUGCGCAAGCGAAAAGAAACCGAAACAAUAAAAUAACAAGAAACAACUCUUAGCGACGGAUUUCUUGGCUCCC
rnacentral:misc_RNA from 1 species